CACCUCUCAGGAUCGCUUCUGGCGAGUUUACAGUACUCUACCAGUCUCGACUAUGGGAGGGAGAGUCAAGCAGAGGCCUGUCCAUUCCAUUCCUAGCUUGGCCAGUGGCUAGCAAAUGGAAGGCAAUCUGCUACAAGU
rnacentral:snoRNA from 1 species